rnacentral:rRNA from 1 species
UCAGCGUAGGGUGAGCCGGAUCCUAAGGUGAGGCCGAAAGGCGUAACCGAUGGCAAGCAGGUUAAUAUUCCUGCGCCUGUGGAAAGUGACGGAGGCCGAAAGCUGUUUCCUCUUAACGGAUUGAGGGGGCGGCCUGGGACUCCCUGGAAAUAACUUCCACUUAUAGUCCGUACCCGAAACCGACACUGGUGGUCAGGUAGAGUAUACCAAGGCGCUUGAGAGAAGGAUGUUGAAGGAACUCGGCAAAUUACCUCUGUAACUUCGGGAAAAAGAGGCCCAGCCGAUACGCAAGUAACGGUUGGGGACACAAAAUUGGGGGUGGCGACUGUUUAUCAAAAACACAGGGCUCUGCUAAGUCGUUGAAGACGACGUAUAGGGUCUGACGCCUGCCCGGUGCCGGAAGGUUAAAAGGAGGAGUGCAAGCUCUGAAUUGAAGCCCCGGUAAACGGCGGCCGUAACGAUAACGGUCCUAAGGUAGCGAAACUCCUUGUCGGGUAAGUUCCGACCUGCAUGAAUGGCGUAACGACUUCCCCACUGUCUCCAACAUCUCCUCAGCGAAGUUGAAUUCCCCGUGAAGAUGCGGGGUACCCGCGGCUAGACGGAAAGACCCUAUGAACCUUUACUAUAACUUUGCAGUGGCAUUAGAAAUGACGUGUGUAGCAUAGUUGGGACACUUUGAAACCUGGGCGCCAGCCCGGGCGGAGUGGAAAUGUGAAAUACCAACCUUGUUGUUUCUGAUGUCUAACCGGGACAGUUAUCCUGUUUCGGGACCCUGCAUGGCGGGUAGUUUGACUGGGGCGGUCGCCUCCUAAAUUGUAACGGAGGCGUGCAAAGGUCAGCUCAAUCUGGUCGGAAAUCAGAUUUAGAGUGCAUUGGCAUAAGCUGGCCUGACUGCAAGGCUGACAAGUCGAGCAGAGACGAAAGUCGGUCAAAGUGAUCCGGUGGUUUCCGUAUGGAAGGGCCAUCGCUCAACGAAUAAAAGGUACUCUAGGGAUAACAGGCUGAUACUGCCCAAGCGUCCACAGCGACGGCAGUGUUUGGCACCUCGAUGUCGGCUCAUCUCAUCCUGGGGCUGGAGCAGGUCCCAAGGGUAUGGCUGUUCGCCAUUUAAAGAGGUACGUGAGCUGGGUUCAGAACGUCGUGAGACAGUUCGGUCCCUAUCUACCGUGGGUGUUGGAAUAUUGAGAGGAGCCGUCCCUAGUACGAGAGGACCGGGAUGGACGUAGCUCUGGUAGACCUGUUGUCGUGCCAACGGCAUAGCAGGAUAGCUAACUACGGACGAGAUAAACGCUGAAAGCAUCUAAGCGUGAAACUUACCUCGAAACAAGUAUUCCCCAUAGAGUCGUCGUAGACUACGACGUUGAUAGGCCGGGUGUGGAAGAGCAGUAAUGCUUGAAGCUGACCGGUACUAAUACUCAA